GACGAACGCUGGCGGCGUGCUUAACACAUGCAAGUCGAACGGUGAAGCGAGUGCUUGCACUCGUGGAUCAGUGGCGAACGGGUGAGUAACACGUGAGUAACCUGCCCAUCACUCUGGGAUAAGCACUGGAAACGGUGUCUAAUACUGGAUACGACCAACCCUUGCAUUGGGUGUUGGUGGAAAGAUUUAUCGGUGAUGGAUGGACUCGCGGCCUAUCAGCUUGUUGGCGGGGUAAUGGCCCACCAAGGCGACGACGGGUAGCCGGCCUGAGAGGGUGACCGGACACACUGGGACUGAGACACGGCCCAGACUCCUACGGGAGGCAGCAGUGGGGAAUAUUGCACAAUGGGCGAAAGCCUGAUGCAGCGACGCCGCGUGAGGGAUGACGGCCUUCGGGUUGUAAACCUCUUUCAGCAGGGAAGAAGCGAAAGUGACGGUACCUGCAGAAGAAGCACCGGCUAACUACGUG
rnacentral:rRNA from 1 species